rnacentral:lncRNA from 1 species
CGUGCAUUUGGAUAAAAUCAACAACAACAAAAAAAUGAAGACAAAAACAAAAACAAAAACAUCAAGUUUCUUUUUGCUGACAACUCAGUGGUGUGCAUAGCAUUUCCAUCAUAUGCUCCAUUCAGUAUGUACUUCCCCGAGUUGUCUUACAUUCAAGUACCUGCUUCUAAUGUUGACUGUCUUCCCGGCUGUACCUGAAAUUGGUAGUGUUUCUGUCAUUGUGACUCAUCUUCUGUGGGCUCCUUAUGAGAACUGAGAGUAGACUGCCUGCUUGAUGCUCCUGGAUUUUCAAAAGACCGGAGAUGAGAAUAUUGAUUGUUCACUGCCAUGUUUAUUCUGUCUGAAUCUGAGAAGUGCCACAGUUUAAAGUUCCCAUAAGUGAAUAUUUAUUGAAUAAAACCCACUGGAUGAUGAGGUUUCAUCUUGUUUGUGUUUAUGAAUAUUUCAAAUAAGAAAACCCUGAGAAU